UAGAGUUUGAUCCUGGCUCAGAACGAACGCUGAUGGCGUGCCUCAUACAUGCAAGUCGAGCGGGUAGCAAUACCAGCGGCGAACGGGUGAGUAACGCGUAAACAAUCUGCCUCAAGGUGGGGGAUAACUAUCCCAACGGAUAGCUAAUACCGCAUAGAGCAACGGGACUGCAUGGUUUUGUUGUUAAAGAUUUAUCGCCUUGAGAUGAGUUUGCGUCCCAUUAGCUAGUUGGCGGGGCAACGGCCCACCAAGGCGACGAUGGGUAGCCGGCCUGAGAGGGUGUCCGGCCACAUUGGGACUGAGAUACGGCCCAGACUCCUACGGGAGGCAGCAGUAGGGAAUUUUGCGCAAUGGGGGAAACCCUGACGCAGCAACGCCAUGUGUGGGAUGAAGCAUUUAGGUGUGUAAACCACUGUCGGCAGGGAAUAAAGGCCCUGAAUAGGGAUUUGAACGUACCUGCAGAGGAAGCCCCGGCAAACUUCGUGCCAGCAGCCGCGGUAAUACGAGGGGGGCAAGUGUUGUUCGGAAUCACUGGGCGUAAAGGGAGCGUAGGCGGGAGCCUAAGUUGGAUGUUUAAGACCGGGGCCCAACCCCGGGAGGGCAUCCAAAACUGGGUUUCUUGAAUGGGACAGACGUCGAUGGAAUUGGACGUGUAGCGGUGGAAUGCGUAGAUAUCUCCAAGAACACCGAUUGCGAACGCAGUCGACUGGGGUCCACAUUGACGCUGAGCUCGAAAGCGUGGGGAGCAAACAGGAUUAGAUACCCUGGUUAGUCCACGCCAUAAACGAUGAAUACUAGUAUUGUGCUAUUCAACGGUGCAGUGCCGCAGCUAACGCGUUAAGUAAUUCCGCCUGGGGAGUACGCCCGCUAGGGUGAAACUCAAAGGAUUUGAACGGGGCCCGCACAGACGUGGACAUGGUGUUUAAUUCGACGUCACCGCAAAACCUUACAAGGCUUGACAUGGAAUGACCUGCUCUGAGAAUCCGCUCUCGCCAAGCACCUCUCCACAGAUGCGCAGCCUGACCUACUCUCGUU
rnacentral:rRNA from 1 species